GGGUCCGUAGCUUAGCCUGGUUGAGCACCGGUCUUAUAAGCCGGAAGUCGUGGGUUCAAAUCCCAUCGGACCCA
rnacentral:tRNA from 1 species